rnacentral:rRNA from 1 species
UACGAAGGGGGCUAGCGUUGUUCGGAUUUACUGGGCGUAAAGCGCACGUAGGCGGAUUGUUAAGUGAGGGGUGAAAUCCCAGGGCUCAACCCUGGAACUGCCUUUCAUACUGGCAAUCUCGAGUCCGGAAGAGGUGAGUGGAACUCCUAGUGUAGAGGUGGAAUUCGUAGAUAUCUGGAGGAAUACCGGUGGCGAAGGCGGCAUCCUGGACCGAGAUUGACACUGAUGAGCGAAAGCCAGGGGAGCAAACGGG